UACGGAGGGAGCAAGCGUUGUUCGGAUUUACUGGGCGUAAAGGGCGCGUAGGCGGCGCGACAAGUCACUUGUGAAAUCUCUGGGCUCAACCCAGAACGGUCAAGUGAUACUGUCGUGCUAGAGUGCGGAAGGGGCAACUGGAAUUCUUGGUGUAGCGGUGAAAUGCGUAGAUAUCAAGAGGAACACCUGCGGCGAAGGCGGGUUGCUGGGCCGACACUGACGCUGAGGCGCGAAAGCUAGGGGAGCGAACGGG
rnacentral:rRNA from 1 species